UGGGGAAUAUUGGACAAUGGGCGAAAGCCUGAUCCAGCCAUGCCGCGUGAGUGAUGAAGGCCUUCGGGUUGUAAAGCUCUGUCGUGAGGGAAGAAAUACUGACGGUACCUCACAAGAAAGCGCCGGCUAACUCCGUGCCAGCAGCCGCGGUAAUACGGAGGGCGCAAGCGUUGCUCGGAAUCACUGGGCGUAAAGCGCACGCAGGCGGCCAUGAAGGUCGGAUGUGAAAGCCCGGGGCUCAACCCCGGAACUGCAUUCGAAACCGCAUGGCUCGAGGACGGGAGAGGAAGGUAGAAUUCCUGGUGUAGAGGUGAAAUUCGUUGAUAUCAGGAGGAAUACCGGUGGCGAAGGCGGCCUUCUGGCCCGUUACUGACGCUCAUGUGCGAAAGCGUGGGGAGCA
rnacentral:rRNA from 1 species